rnacentral:rRNA from 1 species
GAUGAACGCUAGCGGCAGGCUUAACACAUGCAAGUCGAGGGGCAUCGAGAGUAGCAAUACUUGUCGGCGACCGGCGCAAGGGUGCGUAACACGUGAGCAACAUACCCGUUUCAGGAGGAUAACCGGAGGAAACUCUGCCUAAUACUCCAUGACAUCAUCAAACGGCAUCGUUUGAUGAUUAAAGAUUUAUCGGAAACGGCUUGGCUCGCGGGACAUUAGCUCGUUGGUGAGGUAACGGCUCACCAAGGCGACGAUGUCUAGGGGUUCUGGAGAGGAAGGUCCCCCACACUGGAACUGAGACACGGUCCAGACUCCUACGGGAGGCAGCAGUGAGGAAUAUUGGACAAUGGUCGGAAGACUGAUCCAGCCAUGCCGCGUGAAGGUUACUGUCCUAUGGAUAUUAAACUUCUUUUGUAUGAGAGCAAUAAGGUGCACGUGUGCACCGAUGAGAGUAUCAUACGAAUAAGCAUCGGCUUAAC